AACGCACCUUGCGCUCCUUGGUAUUCCGAGGAGCAUGCCUGUUUGAGUGUCAUUUAAUUCUCAACCAUCCCUCGAUUCGUUUCGAGGGUUUGGCUUGGAUUUUGGGGGCUGCCGGGCGACCCUAGGGUCUUCGGCUCUCCUUAAAAGCAUUAGCGAUGGCGGCGCGAUCUAACCCCCCCCAUGCAUGAACGGCCUUCGACGUGAUAAUGAUCGUCGUGGCUGGAGUGUUGUUAGUGGGUGUCGUGAAGUCGGCGCUUCUAAAGACCUCGUCGAAAGACGAAAACUCGAAACUUGACCUCAAAUCAGGUAGGACUACCCGCUGAACUUAA
rnacentral:misc_RNA from 1 species